GCCCCGCGGCCCGGCCGCUUCCGGCGUUCGAGCGCCGUGGCGGGAGCCGCGGCCGUCGGCUCGGCGGGUCCGGCCCCCGUGAGACUGAAGAAAAGGGCUUCCCGAGGGGUACUACAGCCAGCAGCGGACCCCCAGCAGCAGAACCCCAGCAGCAGAACCCCAGCAGCAGAACCCCCAGCAGCAGAACCCCAGCAGCAGAACCCCCAGCAGCGGAACCCCAGCAGCAGAACCCCAACAGCAGGCUGUUUGGUCGUUGCUCCUGGGUUUGAGUCUUACAGCGCAGGACAACCUGCAUGACCCAGUGGCUAACUCCUGUGCUGAGAGGGCUCUGUGCUGCUGCACUGCUGAGCUGCUCACCCCUUUGCUGAGCUCACGAGCAGGAAACUGCAGCUGUGUGGUGGAGAGUUGCACAGGCCACCUUAUUUGGUAUGUUUUGGCCUGUUGCCAAGCCCUCAUUGGACAGAAUUGUGGCCCAAGGACCAUCAAUCGCGAGGUCAAAACCUUGCUCUGCCUGACCACCCAUCUGCUACUAGCAGCUUCUAGCCGUUUUUGGGGACCACCGCCGCUGCAUGACUACAGCCCAUAGCACCAGCCCAGGGAACUGACUAAGGCGCUCCUGGCCAGCUGCCGUCCCAGCCGCCGUUCCCAGCUGUGGGAGAAUUUCUCCCGCAGUGGGGCAUGAGCUGUAAACAUGAGACCUUGUGAUGGGACAAAGUCCUUGAGCUGGAAGGCACUGUGAGCUACCCAUGCACACCUGCUGAGGGCUGACCCUGCCAGCCCCCUGGGGUGGAACCACAGGUUGUUUUGAUAAGGAAUAACCUAUCUGUGCCUUACACAUAACUUUGAGCCAAUCUGUAUUGUCUACUUGUGCCAGCCCCAGUCUGGCUGGGUACACCUCCUCUAAGCACUAUACAAGACACUGCAUUACCCUAAUAAAAUGGCACUGAUGCACAGAAGCUAUAGAGUCGACUCGUCAGUGCCCCGAUCUGCAUCUCGCCAGCCUCCGGACCCCAACACCCAGCUUGGCCUGUACCCGUGGAAGCUCAGACAGUGCCCCCCAAUAACCCCUGAAUUGUUCCAAUCCACGAUAUUUGGGACUUUCAAACUGACUCCGGCCAGUGAGUAACUGAGAAACUCGAUCUAAGCCAGAAUAAUCUCUCAAUAGCCUACCAGUGGCACUUUCAUGCCACAGACUCUCUUCCUAAAUCCUUUCAAACCUUUGCUAAAUUCCCAAUUUGUUGUACAUAGACAUUCUGUAAUAUAAUCUCGAAACCGCAUACAAAGAACUUGUGUGGGGUAGUUGUAAAUAAGUUUGGGGAGGGAGGAUUCCUGGUGUAUAUAAUACUAAAUUAUUUAAACCCUUUUAAAA